rnacentral:rRNA from 1 species
GACGAACGCUGGCGGCGUGCUUAACACAUGCAAGUCGAACGGAAAGGCCCUGCUUUUGUGGGGUGCUCGAGUGGCGAACGGGUGAGUAACACGUGAGUAACCUGCCCUUGACUUUGGGAUAACUUCAGGAAACUGGGGCUAAUACCGGCUAGGAGCUCCUGCUGCAUGGUGGGGGUUGGAAAGUUUCGGCGGUUGGGGAUGGACUCGCGGCUUAUCAGCUUGUUGGUGGGGUAGUGGCUUACCAAGGCUUUGACGGGUAGCCGGCCUGGGAGGGUGACCGGCCACAUUGGGACUGAGAUACGGACCAGACUCCUACGGGAGGCAGCAGUGGGGAAUAUUGCACAAUGGGCGGAAGCCUGAUGCAGCAACGCCGCGUGCGGGAUGACGGCCUUCGGGGUGUAAACCGCUUUCGCCUGUGACGAAGCGUGAGUGACGGUAAUGGGUAAAGAAGCACCGGCUAACUACGUG